AGAGUUUGAUUAUGGCUCAGGAUGAACGCUAGCGACAGGCUUAACACAUGCAAGUCGAGGGGCAGCAUAAAAGUAGCAAUACUUGGUGGCGACCGGCGCACGGGUGAGUAACGCGUAUGCAACCUACCUAUCAGAGGGGAAUAACCCGGCGAAAGUCGGACUAAUACCGCAUAAAACAGGGGCACCGCAUGGUGAUAUUUGUUAAAGAAAUUCGCUGAUAGAUGGGCAUGCGUUCCAUUAGGUAGUUGGUGAGGUAACGGCUCACCAAGCCGACGAUGGGUAGGGGAACUGAGAGGUUGGUCCCCCACACUGGUACUGAGACACGGACCAGACUCCUACGGGAGGCAGCAGUGAGGAAUAUUGGUCAAUGGGCGGGAGCCUGAACCAGCCAAGUCGCGUGGAAAAGGAAGAAGGAUCUAUGGUUCGUAAACUUCUUUUGCAGGGGAAUAAAGUGCAGGACGUGUCCUGUUUUGUAUGUACCCUGAGAAUAAGGAUCGGCUAACUCCGUGCCAGCAGCGGC
rnacentral:rRNA from 1 species